ensembl:lncRNA
GGAGUGCUCCGGGUGGGCCGGACCGCAGAGGGCGAGGGCCAGGGCCUGCCGUUAACCAAUAUUUGAAGAACGGUAACUGUGCCGAGUGUUAGCUCACUUACUCCUCUCAACAACUAAGAUACUGAUAUUUUCUCUUCUUGGACGAGAAAACCGAGGCUCAAGCAGGUGAAGGGCACACAGGCCCGACUCCUUCUCGCCACUGCCCCGCAGGCAGCAUGGGCCGUAUUUUCACAGACGACAAAAUGGAGGUCGGGAGAGGUUGCCGUGUUGCCCAAGAUUGCCCAGGCAGGCAGCUAAGGAACAAAGAGGGGCCGGAUUCUGCAAGGCCGAAGCCACGAGUAAAGUGAGAUCUGGGAUCUACAGCCCGCCUGAACAGAGUGUUUCUUUCCAGCUUCAGAAAUAGCGGGCUGACCUCUACCUCCACUCCAGGCUCCACGGCUGGCUGGCACAACCAAAAGACUUCCACUGUUCCUGGUGGCUCUAGGCUCCCUGCCGGCCUGGGCAGCAUCAGGCUUCUGUGCCCACAGCCUAACUGAGGGCAGGAUUUCUGAACUGGAGACAACAUUUUCAGAGGUGGUAAUUCAGACCCCAGGAAGGUGCCUCUUCGACUGCACCCCACCCCAAGAGGCUGGAUCAAAGACCCUGUAUCCUUAGGCCUGGGAGAAAGGAUGGGGAGAUGCCUGCAAAGCAAGGCCACGAGAACCAGUCAAGCAGCAAAACCCUAGCCAAGAGCUGGAGUCAGAGGUCUGCAACCUGAGGCAGGGACAGGUUUCUCUGAGUGUGAGGGCAACGCCGGGCCCACACCUGUCUCGGUGUGAAUGUUUGCAUGUGUGUGUGCCUCAGGGAGGUUGAGGGACAGCGCAGAUGACCCCUGUUGGCCCCUCACUAAGGUCAGGCGCCCAGACAACCUCAGAAAACACACUUCUAACUCCUCUAUUGCCUGGAGAGUUUUCCAAAAGGGGUUUUCGGACCCCCUCCCCCCAAACACAAACUAUGCCUGGAAUAAAGAAGCGAGAAAUUGACAUGAACGUAAAUACACAGCAGAUGAAACCAGAGAGGGUCAGGGAAGACCCUAGGGCAGGAAAGGGGGUAGCUGGCGAAGGGGGUGUGUAGCACGUCCUAAGACCUGGGGAGCCUCCACUGAUGAAUCUGGUGGUGUUGCAGCCUCGCUCCAUCGACUGCGCUCUUCUCCCCCUCCCAGUGGACUUUUCGAGGGUCUCACGGCAACCUAGUCACCAACACAGGCAUUUCUUCGUACUUAAGAGAAAUGACAUGGGCUUCCAAGUAAUAGAUUUAAAGGACGCCAGAUUUUUUUUUAAUCAUUAAUUGUAAACGUGCAAAAUACCUGCUGGUACUUCACUUUGGAAGAAUGUAAUUGGCAAAAAGAAAAAAAAAAGGAAAAAAAAGGCGGCUGAUGAAUAGAUAAUAGAUCUUUAACCACCAAUAAACAGAAAGCAGCGCCAGCAGCCUGGGGGAUGUGAUCAUAAUUAUACCGCUGCGUGAGCCAAUCGCGACGAGGGAACUCGGCCCUAAAAUCGGCCCAAAACCGAAGGCAAGCUCGAAAAUGCGGACACGGCCCGGGACCGGAGACGCGAUCUGCCGUCCCUAGUUUCGAGCCCUGGGUUAGCAAAGCAACCCGCCCCUGGGACGACAGAUGGCAGAAUGAUGGAAAUAAUAAUAGCGUCAAUAAUGAUAACAAUGACAACACUAACACAAGCAAUAACGACAACGGAACAAUAAUAGUCGCACCACAUCAGCUUCUCCUCUGACUUUGGACCCCCGGUCCAGAUAAUACAGAAGAAACUGUUUUUAAGAAGGAGGUGAGCACCCUCCCAGAGAGAAAACGCCAGAGCCUGUGGGGCGAGUUGGAAGCCCAUAGCCCCGGCAGGGUCGUCGACUCCCGUCUCAACUUGCAAACGAACGAGCCGGGUCAAGGAUCGCGAACGCAGCGACCCAGGGACCUCUAGGUUACGCGCGGUUGGGGGACCCCUCUCUCAGCCCUCAGGCUCCCUCCUCACCUAGGAAACCGCCAGGCGUUUUGCUGGGGGUGAGGACCGGUAUAACCAAACGGCUCCGUUAGCCCUCGCGCGGAACCAGCCC